rnacentral:rRNA from 1 species
CCUACGGGCGGCAGCAGUGGGGAAUAUUGCACAAUGGGGGAAACCCUGAUGCAGCAACGCCGCGUGAGUGAGGACGUAUCUCGGUAUGUAAAGCUCUAUCAGCAGGGGAUUGAAAAGUAGGUACCUGAAAAAGAUGCCCCUGCUAACUACGUGCAAGCAGGCGCGGUAAUACGUAGGGGGCACGCGUUAUCCGGAUUUACUGGGUGUAAAGGGAGCGUAGACGGAAAGGCAAGGCAGAAGUGAAAGCCCAAGGCUCAACCAGGGGACUGCUGUUGAAACUGUCAAACGAGAGUACGGGAGAGGUAAGAGGAAUUCGUGGUGUAGCGGUGAAAUGCGUAGAUAUUAGGAGGAACACCGGUGGCGAAGGCGUCUUACUGGACCGAAACUGACGUUGAGGCUCGAAAGCGUGGGGAGCAAACAGGAUUAGAUACCCCUGUAGUC